rnacentral:rRNA from 1 species
UGGCGAACGGGUGAGUAACACGUGAGUAACCUGCCCUUGACUUUGGGAUAACUUCAGUAAACUGGGGCUAAUACCGGAUAGGAGCUCCUGCUGCAUGGUGGGGGUUGGAAAGUUUCGGCGGUUGGGGAUGGACUCGCGGCUUAUCAGCUUGUUGGUGGGGUAGUGGCUUACCAAGGCUUUGACGGGUAGCCGGCCUGAGAGGGUGACCGGCCACAUUGUGACUGAGAUACGGCCCAG